AAGACUAUAGACCUGCGGAGUACCUGCGGAAGGAUCAUUAUCGAAUCCUUAAGGAUGUUGCUGGUCUCUCGGGACAUGUGCACUCCGCCUUUUCUAUACACCUGUGAACUUAUUGUAGGUGGCAUUACUUGCCACCUAUGUUUUAUAACACACCUGGAUAUUGAAUGUCUAAAUACGGCCUUUAUUGGUCAGUAAACUUAAUACAACUUUCAACAAUGGAUCUCUAGAUCGGAAGAGCAC
rnacentral:misc_RNA from 1 species